UACGUGAGGGGCGAACGUUGUUCGGUGUCACUGGGCGUAAAGUGUGCGCAGGCGGCCGAGCAAGUCGAGUGUGAAAGCCCCGAGCUUAACUUGGGAACUGCGCUCGAAACUACUUGGCUAGAGUGUGGCAGAGGGAGGUGGAAUUCCACGUGUAGCGGUGAAAUGCGUAGAGAUGUGGAGGAACACCGAUGGCGAAGGCAGCCUCCUGGGCCAACACUGACGCUCAUGCACGAAAGCGUGGGGAGCAAACAGG
rnacentral:rRNA from 1 species